AUGUCGCUUGGCUCUAAAGCCCCUCCCCCUGGUUCCCCGCAGGAGGAGGCUGUGUGUAUCUCAGUGCUAAAGCUCCCUCCCCAGUCUGUUCCGAAGCAGACGGGGCAGAGGGUGCCGUCGUACAGUGCAUCCCCCCACCCCGGUGGUUCCCCGCCCCACGCCGCCUCCAGGGCCGGCGCUGCCGGCUGCCGCGCUCCGGGAGCAGCCAGGAGGCUCUGGGGCCGGACGGCGCGUCCGCGAACGCUCAGGCCGGUCGCAGGCGCGGGAGACAGGCUCGCCCCCGCCGCCCCCACUCCAAACCCCAAGCGUCAACCCGAGCUGCAUUUCUUUUCGCUUAAAAGCUCGCGCGGCGGCCGGGGCGGCGUUCUCUGAGAAUCACUUCUGCCGCGCCUGGCCCCCCGGACGAGCAGAGCCACCGCCCCACUGGUAGCGGCCGGGGGCCCCCAGCGCUGCCUUUCCCUGCCCGGCUCCCUCGGCUCCGCCCCCUGGGGAGGUUGGGUGGGGAGGCCGCUGGGGAGAGGGCCCGGCCCCCAGCCCCCGCCCCUGCUGCGCCCCCGCGUCUCCAUAGCGAUCCUCCCGGCGCUCACCUCCAGGCCGGCUCCCCCCGGGUCUGAACAAUACGCGGCGGGGCCGGGGGCGGGGCCGGGCCGGGGGCGGGGAGAGCGCGGGCAGAGGGGGCGCGGGCCGAGCGCACCGCCCAGGCAGCAGCCGGCCACCGGGGUCUGAGCGGUGCGGUGCGGCCCUGCCCGCUCCGAGAGCGCAGCCCCCGCCCCGCUCCGGGCCCGCCCCGCUUCCCACGCCGCUCGGCCGAGCCCGCGCGGGAGCCACCUGGAGCCGCCUGGAGCCGCCACCACCGCAGGUUGAUGCGCGGCGCCCUCCCGGGACGCGCGGAGGAGCCAUCUUGAAACCAACUUCGCAAACUUUCGCAAAGUGUUCUCGAAGUGGAAGCUGCGGGGGAGACCGGGAGCGCGGCCCCCGGUGUCCCCGCCAGGGUCCCCGGGGAGGCAGGGCGCGGGCCGCCCCGAGGGCCCGGGGCUAGGCGCGCGGGAGCCGCCCCCCGGCCGUGCCGGGUGGAUGCGGAGCCGCGCCGGGUGCAUGGAUUGUGCUCGGGCGCCCGGC
rnacentral:lncRNA from 1 species